rnacentral:rRNA from 1 species
GACGAACGCUGGCGGCGUGCUUAACACAUGCAAGUCGAACGGAAAGGCCCUGCUUUUGUGGUGUGCUCGAGUGGCGAACGGGUGAGUAACACGUGAGUAACCUGCCCUUGACUUUGGGAUAACUUCAGGAAACUGGGGCUAAUACCGUAUAGGAGCUCCUGCUGCAUGGUGGGGGUUGGAAAGUUUCGGCGGUUGGGGAUGGACUCGCGGCUUAUCAGCUUGUUGGUGGGGUAGUGGCUUACCAAGGCUUUGACGGGUAGCCGGCCUGAGAGGGUGACCGGCAACAUUGGGACUGAGAUACGGCCCAGACUCCUACGGGAGGAAGCAGUGGGGAAUAUUGCCCAAUGGGCGGAAGCCUGAUGAAGCAACGCCGCGUGCGGGAUGACGGCCUUCGGGUUGUAACCCGCUUUCGCCUGUGACGAAGCGUGAGUGACGGUAAUGGGUAAAGAAGCACCGGCUAACUACGUG